CAAAGAGUCUUUGGUGCAUUUACCAAAUGGCAAGAAGUCCAGAGUGGCUGUUGGGCACUGAAUGUGAGAGUGUUUAGAUUUGAAACUUUAAGAAUUAGGUGGGGACUAUGUCCUAAAAGACUGUUCUCAAUGCCAAAGACUUUAGACUUCAUACACUGAUCUAUACUGCAGAUCUUAGAAGAAGAAAAUCAAUUCUACAUAAAUGGCAAAAGCAGUGUUCCCCAAGCUGGGGCUGACAGACCCCUGAGAAAAAAGCAUUACGUGCUAGUGGAGGAGCUGGAAGUUGUGGAUCUCCAACACUGAUUUCCAAUAUUUGGUUCUCCUCUGCUCCUGAUCACAUGCGAAAAUUACACUUUCCCAUGUUGUUUCAGCAAAACAUCAUCCAUCACUGUAAAUUAAUGUUGUUAAUAUUGAACUUACUGAUUUUGUGGUUUUGAUGGUUUUUACUUUGUGAAUUAUUUUUAUUAAAACAAGCAUAUAUAAAA
ensembl:lncRNA novel transcript